rnacentral:rRNA from 1 species
UACGUAGGGGGCAAGCGUUGUCCGGAUUUAUUGGGCGUAAAGAGCGUGUAGGCGGCCAGGUAGGUCAGCUGUGAAAACUCGAGGCUCAACCUCGAGACGUCGGUUGAAACCACCUGGCUAGAGUCCGGAAGAGGAGAGUGGAAUUCCUGGUGUAGCGGUGAAAUGCGCAGAUAUCAGGAAGAACACCCGUGGCGAAGGCAGCUCGCUGGGACGGUACUGACGCUGAGACGCGAAAGCGUGGGGAGCAAACAGG